rnacentral:rRNA from 1 species
GACAGAGGGUGCAAACGUUGUUCGGAAUUACUGGGCAUAAAGCGCACGUAGGUGGUCUGCUAAGUCAAGUGUGAAAUCCCCCGGCUCAACCGGGGAAUUGCGCUCGAUACUGGCAGGCUCGAGGUUGGUAGGGGUGAGCGGAACUCCAGGUGGAGCGGUGAAAUGCGUAGAUAUCUGGAGGAACACCGGUGGCGAAGGCGCAUCCUGGACCGGCAUUGACGCUGAGGCGCGAAAGCCAGGGGAGCAAACGGG